rnacentral:snRNA from 1 species
AGCUUUGCACAGUGGUAGUAUCGUAACCAGUGAGGUUUAUGAGGUGUGAUUAUUGCCAAUUGAAAAAAAAAAAGACAAAUGUAAAACGUAAAACUAUAGAACUUCUACAAAACAAUGUAAGAGAAUAUCUUCAGGACUUAGAACAGG